UUAAGCGACCAAGCGUACACGGUGGAUGCCCUGGCAGUCAGAGGCGAUGAAGGACGUGCUAAUCUGCGAAAAGCGCCGGUAAGGUGAUAUGAACCGUUAUAACCGGCGAUGUCCGAAUGGGGAAACCCAGUGUGACUCGUCACACUAUCAUUAACUGAAUCCAUAGGUUAAUGAGGCGAACCGGGGGAACUGAAACAUCUAAGUACCCCGAGGAAAAGAAAUCAACCGAGAUUCCCCCAGUAGCGGCGAGCGAACGGGGAGGAGCCCAGAGCCUGAAUCAGCAUGUGUGUUAGUGGAAGCGUCUGGAAAGGCGCGCGAUACAGGGUGACAGCCCCGUACACAAAAGCGCAUGUGCUGUGAGCUCGAUGAGUAGGGCGGGACACGUGGUAUCCUGUCUGAAUAUGGGGGGACCAUCCUCCAAGGCUAAAUACUCCUGACUGACCGAUAGUGAACCAGUACCGUGAGGGAAAGGCGAAAAGAACCCCGGCGAGGGGAGUGAAAAAGAACCUGAAACCGUGUACGUACAAGCAGUGGGAGCACAGGUUUACCUGUGUGACUGCGUACCUUUUGUAUAAUGGGUCAGCGACUUAUAUUCUGUAGCAAGGUUAACCGAAUAGGGGAGCCGGAGGGAAACCGAGUCUUAACCGGGCGUUAAGUUGCAGGGUAUAGACCCGAAACCCGGUGAUCUAGCCAUGGGCAGGUUGAAGGUUGGGUAACACUAACUGGAGGACCGAACCGACUAAUGUUGAAAAAUUAGCGGAUGACCUGUGGCUGGGGGUGAAAGGCCAAUCAAACCGGGAGAUAGCUGGUUCUCCCCGAAAGCUAUUUAGGUAGCGCCUCGUGAAUUCAUCUCCGGGGGUAGAGCACUGUUUCGGCCAGGGGGCCAUCCCGGCUUACCAACCCGAUGCAAACUGCGAAUACCGGAGAAUGUUAUCACGGGAGACACACGGCGGGUGCUAACGUCCGUCGUGAAGAGGGAAACAACCCAGACCGCCAGCUAAGGUCCCAAAGUCAUGGUUAAGUGGGAAACGAUGUGGGAAGGCCCAGACAGCCAGGAUGUUGGCUUAGAAGCAGCCAUCAUUUAAAGAAAGCGUAAUAGCUCACUGGUCGAGUCGGCCUGCGCGGAAGAUGUAACGGGGCUAAACCAUGCACCGAAGCUGCGGCAGCGACACUGUGUGUUGUUGGGUAGGGGAGCGUUCUGUAAGCCUGCGAAGGUGUGUCGUGAGGCAUGCUGGAGGUAUCAGAAGUGCGAAUGCUGACAUAAGUAACGAUAAUGCGGGUGAAAAACCCGCACGCCGGAAGACCAAGGGUUCCUGUCCAACGUUAAUCGGGGCAGGGUGAGUCGACCCCUAAGGCGAGGCCGAAAGGCGUAGUCGAUGGGAAACGGGUUAAUAUUCCCGUACCUGGUGUUACUGCGAAGGGGGGACGGAGAAGGCUAUGUUGGCCGGGCGACGGUUGUCCCGGUUUAAGCGUGUAGGCUGGUUUUCCAGGCAAAUCCGGAAAAUCAAGGCUGAGGCGUGACGACGAGGCACUACGGUGCUGAAGCAACAAAUGCCCUGCUUCCAGGAAAAGCCUCUAAGCCUCAGGUAACAUCAGAUCGUACCCGAAACCGACACAGGUGGUCAGGUAGAGAAUACCAAGGCGCUUGAGAGAACCCGGGUGAAGGAACUAGGCAAAAUGGUGCCGUAACUUCGGGAGAAGGCACGCUGACACGUAGGUGAAGUGAUUUACUCAUGGAGCUGAAGUCAGUCGAAGAUACCAGCUGGCUGCAACUGUUUAUUAAAAACACAGCACUGUGCAAACACGAAAGUGGACGUAUACGGUGUGACGCCUGCCCGGUGCCGGAAGGUUAAUUGAUGGGGUCAGCGCAAGCGAAGCUCCUGAUCGAAGCCCCGGUAAACGGCGGCCGUAACUAUAACGGUCCUAAGGUAGCGAAAUUCCUUGUCGGGUAAGUUCCGACCUGCACGAAUGGCGUAAUGAUGGCCAGGCUGUCUCCACCCGGGACUCAGUGAAAUUGAACUCGCUGUGAAGAUGCAGUGUACCCGCGGCAAGACGGAAAGACCCCGUGAACCUUUACUAUAGCUUGACACUGAACACUGGUCCUUGAUGUGCAGGAUAGGUGGGAGGCUUUGAAGUGUGGACGCCAGUCUGCAUGGAGCCGUCCUUGAAAUACCACCCUUUAAUGGCUGGUGUUCUAACGUAGACCCGUGAACCGGGUUGCGGACAGUGUCUGGUGGGUAGUUUGACUGGGGCGGUCUCCUCCUAAAGCGUAACGGAGGAGCACGAAGGUUGGCUAAUCCUGGUCGGACAUCAGGAGGUUAGUGCAAUGGCAUAAGCCAGCUUGACUGCGAGCGUGACGGCGCGAGCAGGUGCGAAAGCAGGUCAUAGUGAUCCGGUGGUUCUGAAUGGAAGGGCCAUCGCUCAACGGAUAAAAGGUACUCCGGGGAUAACAGGCUGAUACCGCCCAAGAGUUCAUAUCGACGGCGGUGUUUGGCACCUCGAUGUCGGCUCAUCACAUCCUGGGGCUGAAGUAGGUCCCAAGGGUAUGGCUGUUCGCCAUUUAAAGUGGUACGCGAGCUGGGUUUAGAACGUCGUGAGACAGUUCGGUCCCUAUCUGCCGUGGGCGCUGGAGAACUGAGGGGGGCUGCUCCUAGUACGAGAGGACCGGAGUGGACGCAUCACUGGUGUUCGGGUUGUCAUGCCAAUGGCACUGCCCGGUAGCUAAAUGCGGAAGAGAUAAGUGCUGAAAGCAUCUAAGCACGAAACUUGCCCCGAGAUGAGUUCUCCCUGAGACUACAAGUCUCCUGAAGGAACGUUGAAGACGACGACGUUGAUAGGCCGGGUGUGUAAGCGCAGCGAUGCGUUGAGCUAACCGGUACUAAUGAACCGUGAGGCUUAACCUU
rnacentral:rRNA from 1 species